CUCACAACUCGGUCUCUUUCUCCCUGUGUUGAGAAGCCUGAGCUCCUCCCUCCCAAACCUUGUGACCCACAAGUGACUAUUACAAUACAGAGGAGCUUGUACUGCAGGGCUUUGAAAAAGACUGUGAAGAAGACAGCAUGCUGGAAGCUUUUCACACAUUAGCUGCCAUGUGCAUUUCUGAUGCCACUGCAGAGGAACUCCUGGCAGAAGUGAUGAUGGAAAUUCUGAGACAAAACACAGAAGAAGAAUUAAAUGCAGAAAGAAAGAAAUUAG